CACAGCUCACGGCAACAUCGGAUCCUUAACCCACUGAGCAAGGCCAGGGAUCGAGCCCACAACUUCGUGGUUCCUAGUUGGAUUUGUUAACCACUGAGCCACGACGGGAACUCCUCUACUACUCAGUUUUAAAUAGUUUAUAUUGCUGCAUCUAGGUUUCCUUCUUCUCCCCAAGUGCAUGGUUAUUUCAUGGGAAGGGGGUCAAGUUCUCUCAUGUUUGGGUUAAAGCCAGAGUGACAAGAAAGGAACAGCCAUAAGAUUUAGGACAGAUAAUUUAACGGGCGGAAUGUUAGAGCCGGAGCUGAACACGAUCAUAUGGAGCCCCCACUAAUUCACGGGAAUCUGGGAAUAAUCCAGAUAGUUCAGACCAGUCUUCGCUGACUCCAAAGGGACUGGAGGACCCCAGCUGGGUUUCCUUGAUAAAAUGGGUUAAUGGAAGUGUGGCGAGAUGUGUCUCCACCUUCUCCAGGCCCUACUGCCGCAGCUCCGAGCCUCUCCUGCGAACAGACUUGUGGGUGCCCAAACCCACUCUCUGCUCCUUUGCUCUUCGUAUCAGCAAUGAACACGCUGGCCUUUGUUGCCAACCUUGAAGAGACUGUACAAUCAGCAUCAUUCUCUGAGAUAUUUCUCAGAGACGGACCUAUAAAAAUUCAGAGCGCUUAGAGGACACCCCUUUCUUCCUUCAAAUUCAUCCCAGGAAUCCUCCCCCCUGUAGUCCAAGCGCCUGCCCACCCCCGGUUCACUGCCAGACUGCCUGGUGCAUCCCUCUGAUGUGAGAAGCCAAGCAAGGUGACGCAAAGGAAGGGAUGAGUCUGUGAGUCAGGUCUGUUGUCUGCAUCUCCAUUCUGUGUCCCCAGCAUCUGUCUGCUGAUUUAUCAAGAGGACCAGCCAUGGUUAGGAAUGAUGGACAGUCCUCGGAGGAAGCAGUGCCAGAAGCAUGAUGAGCAGAAAUGCUGAACAAGAUGCUGGCUGGAGGGGAAAUCAAUCUCCCAGGCUGAUUAGUUUGGGCCAAACGCCAUCCUUUUGGAUCCCACUUAAGCUCAGGUGGCCUGUGGCGGCAGCAUCCACUGCACUGACUGUAUCGUAGCAAGCGGUGUCUGACAGCGAGCGAACUGCUUGUGGCCUGACUUGGAGUUCGUCCCUGCCCUGUUGAACCAGGGUCCAUAAGCUCAGCAGCAGAGCUUUGGAGGCCUCCCUGUCCGCACCCAAGGAUGUGGCUUGGGAAGAGCCAAACCAGCCCUCUGUGGCGCAAACGUCAGCUGAGGCAGCUGAAGGGUAGCACUUAGAACUGUCAGUGCCGCCUGCUCCAGCAGCUGGACAGAAACAAGAGCACUUCACCGAUUCAGUCCCAUUUGCUACCACGAACCCUUCAGCCUCCUCAGAGUCUCCCCGCUGCUGCUUGGGGCCCCGUGGGGUGUUUCACACCCACACGUAGAGUGGUCCUCUGUUUUUCUCCAGUCCUGCCCCAGCCUGCUGGCCUGAGUGCUCUGAGCGUGCUCGCAUAUGGCUGUGAAGCCCCCUGGAGGCCACCCCAUACCACCCCUCAUUGUGCCAAAGCCCUUGCCACAGGGCCUCCAUGCCCUGCCCAGCGCUGUGGAACCACUCCCUUAGUUUUCAUUCUUUCCUCUCUGCAGCCUUUCUCCCCAGGACCCGGGCAGGUGUCCCGAGUCCUGGGGGAGAAGCAGGAGGGGUUUCUCUGCUCCUCCCACAUGGACCUGGAUCUGUGCACCUCUUCUCCCCUUUGCUCCUGAGGAUGAAGUCUUUCCUGGGAGGCUCAUGGCAAAGCCGUCUUAGGAGGCCCAGAGCUGCGAUGCUUCAGAUGCACCCAAACAUGUCUGAAUCCGGGGUAGACAAAGUCCAGGUCUAGGCUGAGACCCCGCCACUCCUUCCAGUGGACAGGUGUGGGAAGACAGGACCUCAGCCGGCAGCCCCAAGAGGCUCACAGCUGCUUCCCUGGCCAAGAAGAGGAUCACAGGACAGUGUCCUGACUCUUCUGAAUCCAGCCUCCACAGUGAGCUGUUGUUACUCAGGUGGAGAGAGCGUGAGAGAAUGAGGAGAGAGGCAGGACGGCGCCGGCCCAGCAGCCUCUCAGCUGUGCCGUUAACAGUCUGGGCACGUCAUUCCUCUCCUCGGCCUCCCUGUCACGUGUCAAGUCAGUGGUGCUCUGUCUAGAUCAGAGGUCAGCAAGCCUUUUCUGGAAGGGGCCAGGGAAAUAUUUCAGGCUUUGUGGGUCACACCGUCUCUGUCCUAACAACUCAGCCCUGCAGUUGGAGCACAAAAGCAGCUGUGGACAAUACGCGACUGUGUUCCGACAAAACUGAUAUAUAGAAGCAGGUGGUGGAUUGCACUGGACCCACAGGCCAUAGUUGGUCAACUACAGGUCUAGGUGAUUUCCAAAGGCUCUUUAAGUUUCAGCAAAUCCUUAAGGCCAGAAGUGAAUACUUUGAUGCCAGAGGCAUGAGGCCUUUGAAUGGAAGAUCCCAAAUUUCACCAGUAGUUUCCUUGCUUUUUUUCGAAAACGUCUUCCCUUCUCUCUUCCCCAGCUAGGACCUGAAUUUCAGCGGCAUUUAUCGAGAGCCCAGAAUGUACCUGGAGGUGCUCUUGAUGUAGGGGAGUCUAUUGAUACAAUGACUGACACCUCCAAUGACUCACGAUGUAAAUGAAGGCAAUAAACAGGUAGUGACGUCAUAGGAAACAGAGUUAUCGCUCUAGUCCGUCAUCGAGACAAAUCAAGUUGCAAGGCAGCUCCGUUUCACAUACCAGAGGGCAUCAGGUUCAAGGACGUCGUCAUGUAAAACGGGAGGAGAGACAGGAAGCUGGCUGGGCCGUCGAAGCGCAUUCCCGCGGGACCCCGAGAAGUCCCGACUCGGGCUGGGACUGGUCCGCAGAGCAGUGCCGAGACGGGUUGCCCUGGAGGGCUGAGGGGCAGCUCGUGGAGGUAAAAGCCACACUUUUGUCCUGACUUGCAGAGAAGUGGGCAGUAGGUUAGGGUGCAGAGCAUGCGAAGGGAGCGUCUCGUGGAAUGCGUAGGUGAAGGUGCCGGUCAGCGGGAAACCACGGGGAGCGGGCGUCUCAACACUCCCCGGCCGCGGUCCCCGGCUCCGCAGAGCUUCCUCGUCUUAUUUCAGGGAGAUGAAGUGUUGGUCGAGGCGAUUCCUGGACCACACGCAAGAUGCUGUACCAAGAUUUCUGUCUUUGACAUGUUUAUUUCUAAAAUGUCAUCACGACUUGCUAGAUCCUUUCCAUAAAACCGGCAGUAAACAUCGCUUGCCUUCAGCAGCAGGGCUAGGUGGCUCCAAAGGCUUGUCGUAGCCACGCAGACACAUGGGUGUCACUGGAGGAGCAACAGCGCAGGUAAUUCCAAACACCCCAACUCAGUUCUCCUUGACUUCGGGGUUUAGUCCAUUUGCGCAGGAGUACAUUUAUAUUUUUCCUAUUUUAUGGAAUCACUGAAGCUUAGAAUUUUACCGGAGCCCUUCAUUUCACCCUCACUGAAAGGCGAAUUUAGAGAAGGAAUAUUAAGUGCUUGCUUUCGGCCACGGACUUAAUAGAAGAACCAAAAUUAGAAGCUAGGUCUUCUGAUGCCAGAGGUGGAGCUGUCAGGACUGCAUUUUACACUGUGACCCAGGGUGUGUGCGAGAGCACGCCUGCAGCCCGAAGCGGACCUUUCCUCUUCUUUUCUAUUCGGUUAUCUCCUUUGACCAAGUGCUGGUCAUGACCCCCUCCGCUGACGUCACAGCCCCCUAAAAGGUCCCAGCUCAGCUCGGUUUUUGAUAAACACUGCUCUGGGUGACAGUAUUACUCAUAUGCCAUCACAGCCGCCACACACCAAACAAAAACGAAUGCUUUCUUACAGCAGCGCGAGCAACAUUUCUCUUUGAAAGAUUACCACUUUGCAUGAGGAAGGAGAAAGAACUGGGAUCAUUUGGUUUUCCUGGGCCAAAAAAGUCUAAAUAUGCAUAAAGGGAGCCACGAAUCUGUCGGAUAUUUUCCAAGCACAUCCAAAGCCCACGUUCUCCGUGAUGGCUUUCCAGACUAGCUCGCCGAGCUCGGAACCUCUCGACACUGAUGGACAUUUUUGCAGAGUCACUAAUGCGAAACCCCAUCUUUAUCGCCUUCUUUCUAGGAAAUGGCAAAGAAAGAAAAUUCCCGCGGAUGUCUGGAAGACACUCCCUGCUUAUCCCCAAAUCCGUGAGAGGGAUGGAGGCACUGAUGCAGGGGCAAGAUGACGUAUUAGCUGUACCCAUCCCGAUGCUGCAUAUUUGAGUGCUGAAACUGUAAUAGCAAUGCAACGAAAAUGUCAAAAUCGAGCUGGUCCGGGAUGGAACCUAGGCUUUCACAGGGACGUAUAAUUAGAUGGCCGAGGCUAUCUGAGAAAUUUUUCAGCCUCUGGGCAGCUUUAACCUCCGGCUAAUUCUCCACCCCAAAUAUCCUUCAGAGUUAGGCAUUGUCACCAAGGAGCUCUUUGAAAUUCGUUUUGUUUUCUCAGCCACCAGAGCUGCAGGAGGUCGUGACCAGGGGCGAGGAGCAGAAGGGAAAAGCACAGGAAUGGAAAAGCUUUAAGACUCCUCGUGCCAGAGAAUCAGGCACCACAUUGGAGAAUAGCAGCCUGGGACCGUAGACUCUCAGAAGAGCAUAAAAGACGGCCCUCAGGCCUGAUCCACGCCUUUCCCAGCUUGAACUGCUCUUUCCUAAAUCGGUUUCAAUUUCCUCCAUCUCCAAGAGGCGGCAGCAGAAAAGAAGGAGCCAGGAAGGCAGAGGCCCAGUGUUUUUCUCCCCAGCUGCCCUAGUGGUGCUGACAACUGAGCUGAUGGGAAAAUGGCUGCUAAUUAAAUCACUUCGUAAGAAAGAGACCAUUUUCCAUCUGAAUGCACUCUGCAGUUCUCAUGUUGGGUCAUUGGUUGUUCUAAUAAGCUGGAGAGGUUGAGUUCCAAGGUUGCAGCCGCUGCUGGUCCACAGAAACAGGGAGCGUGUUUUGGCCGUGCCCUUGCCCCGUGGAGGUGCCCAGGAAGCCUGACCGAUGGCAUUCCUUGUGAUCAUUCUGUUCAUGGGAGACCUGGGGCUGAGAUCUGUGUUUCCCAGUCCACGGGUUUAGGAUGCUUCUGUGCCGAUGGGAUAAAACAAAGCCCCAAACCAGCUAGAAAAAGCCUCCGUGCCUUUUAACUGAAAAAGGAGCAGGAAAGGACUCCUUUUCGUGCAGAUCUGCUGUGACGAGGGAAGGAAGGUACUCCUCCAGCCGUAUUGGAACAGAAGCGUGGGAAAGCUCGGCCUCCUUCAGCGCCAUGGUUUUAGGAGAGCUGGAGAGCCCGGGCCUCCCGGUGUGAGGCUGUGGACUCUGGAAUUAGACCAAGUGUCAGUUCCAGCUCUAACACGUAGCAGCUCUGUGACCUUGGACAAGCCGAGGCCAUCUCUUCACCUCCCCCGUCGGAAGACAGUGAUAAUACUCACCUCUGGGGUAGCAGUGAAGAGUGAAGAUGGCUGUACUUCUAGAGUGCGGAGUCUCUGGAAAGCACUCGUUCAAUGGUAGAGAGAGAACGCUUUUUCCACUUGCCAGAUGCUGAGGAGGCUCAGAGAGAUCGGGUAGCUUGACCGAGGUCAUGAAACUAACGAGAGGGGUCGGGAUUCUGCUGGACUGUAAAUCCAGGCACCGUGUGGUCUCAUUGUUGGAAGCAAACACUUAAAUGCAUAUGGUUUUAUUGGCUGUGAACUGAGCAGAACUCUUCUGAUACACCUGACUACACGGAUUAUACUCCCUGAGGUGUAUUUUGGCAAAAAUGAUGCCAAUUCCCUUUGGUUUCCAGGCCCAUCUUGCUCAAGGGUUCCAUUACUCUGAGCCCAUAUCUUUCUGAACGCUGGAACAUUUGGUCUCUUGGGUGCCCUGUACAUCCAGAGUCUGCGGCUGCACUUUUUUUUUUUCUUUCAGCAUCUAAAAAAGAUUUCCUCUCUCAUUUCCUGAGACCCAACAGAAAACUGGUGGUCCUGGCUUUCUGCCUUCUCACCUCCACUUCUCUCUCAAGUUUCCGUUUUAGUUUGGCUUCAGUGGAAAAUUCCACUGCGGCCUUCGGUGGAUGAAUGCAGCCUCUUUAAUUAUAUUGAAUUUACAGAGAUCAAUUUUUAUAACCCUAACAGGGUUAGUCCCUGAGUUCCUGUGCUUGUUAGAUGAUCAUGGACCCAUUCCUGGGGGCCCAGGGGCCCCUCAGGGGGUCUAAUCGACAGUGGCCGGUCAUCUGUCAUGAGUCAUUUCUGUCAUGCUGGAAAAGAGAAAUUUAUGGCUUUGGUCAGUAUCUUUCCUUAGGGCUCAGCAUCUCCUGGCUCCAUUCUCUUGUUGGCACUCUGAAGCGGCAGCAUUUUUUUCUUUUCUAUUGGAAUAAAUCCCUCCAAUAAUUGCAGAAACUGACGGCCUUGACCACGAAAGAAAUGCGAAACUGUACCAUAAUUUGGGCUGUGUUCUCUUUCUCCCUCCGUCUGCGUUUCCUGCUUUCCCUCCUUCCUCCUUCCAUUCCGCCCUCCUUUCACUUUCUUCGCUCUUACCCUCUCCCCUCCCCUCCUAUCGUCUCUUCCUGUAUUUCUGUAUUCUUUUCAGUUCAAUAAAUGUUGAUUAGAUACCCAAUCAUUUGGGCUGGAUAACUGAGCACCCAAAAAUGAGAUGGUCUCUGUCUUCAAGGAACCCACAGCUUACAAACGAGUAGAAACUUCCCCUCUCUUGCCUUCCUUUUUCCAAUUUAUAUUAAGGACUGAAAUAAAUCUAGAUAUUAUUCAGGGUCAGUAAAGAUUGUCACAAAAAGUAAAAAACUCUUUGAAGUUA